AACCAAAGUGUUGAGUUCAGUCCAGGGCCCUCUCCCUGUUCUGGUAAUUAAACUUUGGAACAAUGAGCGACUGGGAAAUGCACCA
rnacentral:snoRNA from 1 species